UACAGAGGGGGCAAGCGUUGUUCGGAAGUACUGGGCGUAAAGGGCGCGUAGGCGGCCUUCUAAGUCGAACGUGAAAUCCCCGGGCUCAACCCGGGAACUGCGUCCGAUACUGGAAGGCUUGAAUCCGGGAGAGGGAUGCGGAAUUCCAGGUGUAGCGGUGAAAUGCGUAGAUAUCAGGAGGAACACCGGUGGUGUAGACGGCUUUCUGGACAAUCACUGACGCUGAGGUACGAAAGCGUGGGUAGCAAACAGG
rnacentral:rRNA from 1 species